rnacentral:lncRNA from 1 species
AUGUCUCCUUGGAUCAAGCAGCUAUUACCCCACUAAUUAGAAAUGAUAUCCCUGUAUGUUAUGUUUUUGCAAGUAUUUAUCCAAUUGCAGUUUAAACAUCUGUAUAGACUCUGACAAAACCACCUCUUCAGGCAGAGAAUUCCAUAUCCUUAUUGCUCUUACUGUAAAAAAACCUUUUCUUUGCCUUAGAUGAAAUCUCCUCUCUUCCAGCCUAAAUGUGUGACCUUGUGUCCUAUGUAUAGCCCUGUUUAUGAAUAGAUUUCCAGAUAAUGGUUUAUACUGGCCUCGA